rnacentral:rRNA from 1 species
UACGAAGGGGGCUAGCGUUGUUCGGAAUUACUGGGCGUAAAGCGCGCGCAGGCGGUCUUCCAAGUCAGUGGUGAAAGCCCGGAGCUCAACUCCGGAACUGCCAUUGAAACUGUUAGACUUGAGUAUGAGAGAGGUGAGUGGAAUUCCCAGUGUAGAGGUGAAAUUCGUAGAUAUUGGGAAGAACACCGGUGGCGAAGGCGGCAACCUGGUCCUUGACUGACGCUGAGGCGCGAAAGCGUGGGGAGCAAACAGG